GUAUGUGUGUGUGUGUGUGUGUGUGUGUGUGUGUGUGUGUGUGUGUAUAUAUAUAUAUAUAUAUACACACAUACACACACACACACACACUGCUGUGU